UGAGGUAUGGUUCAUGUGAUAGCUUACAUGCCUAGCAAGCAUGAGGCCCUGAGUUCAAAUCUCAGUACUGCCA
rnacentral:tRNA from 1 species